UCCGAUAUGGUGUAGUGGCUAACAUUAUCGCCUCUCAUGUUUGAACGCGAUAGCCCGGGGUUCGAUUCCCCGUGUCGGAA
rnacentral:tRNA from 1 species